rnacentral:siRNA from 1 species
UCAUUGGUGUGAUGAUGU